rnacentral:pre_miRNA from 1 species
AACAUUCAUUGCUGUCGGUGGGUUUAACUGUAUGGACAAGCUCACUGAACAAUGAAUGCAA